rnacentral:tRNA from 1 species
GUGCCCAUAGCUCAGUUUGGAUAGAGCACUUGGCUACGAACCAAGAGGACGGGAGUUCAAAUCUCUCUGGGCAUA